rnacentral:rRNA from 1 species
UACGUAGGUGGCAAGCGUUGUCCGGAAUUAUUGGGCGUAAAGAGCGCGCAGGCGGUCGUCCAAGUCGCGUGUGAAAGCCCCCGGCUCAACUGGGGAGGGUCACGCGAUACUGGUCGACUCGAAGGCAGGAGAGGGUAGUGGAAUUCCCGGUGUAGUGGUGAAAUGCGUAGAUAUCUGGAGGAACACCGGUGGCGAAGGCGGCAUCCUGGACCAACACUGACGCUGAGGAGCGAAAGCCAGGGGAGCAAACGGG